rnacentral:rRNA from 1 species
AACGAACGCUGGCGGCAGGCUUAACACAUGCAAGUCGAGCGAGACCUUCGGGUCUAGCGGCGGACGGGUGAGUAACGCGUGGGAACGUGCCCUUCUCUACGGAAUAGCCCCGGGAAACUGGGAGUAAUACCGUAUACGCCCUUUGGGGGAAAGAUUUAUCGGAGCAGGAUCGGCCCGCGUUGGAUUAGGUAGUUGGUGGGGUAAUGGCCCACCAAGCCGCCAAUCCAUAGCUGGGUUGGGAGGAUGAUCAGCCACACUGGGAGUGAGACACGGCCGAGACUCCUACGGGAGGCAGCAGUGGGGAAUCUUAGAAAAUGGGGGCAACCCUGAACUAGCCAGGCCGCGUGAGUGAUGAAGGCAUUAGGGUUGUAAAGCGCUUUCAGCUGGGAAGAUAAUGACGGUACCAGCAGAAGAAGCCCCGGCUAACUACGUG